GACGAACGCUGGCGGCGUGCCUAACACAUGCAAGUCGGACGGAGAUAUGAUUUCGGUUAUAUCUUAGUGGCGAACGGGUGAGUAACGCGUGAGCAACCUGACUCUUAGAGGGGGAUAACACCCGGAAACGAGUGCUAAUACCGCAUAAGACCACGACAUGGCAUCAUGACGAGGUCAAAGGAGUAAUCCGCUGAGAGAGGGGCUCGCGUCCCAUUAGAUAGAUGGCGGGGUAACGGCCCACCAUGUCAACGAUGGGUAGCCGAGCUGAGAGGCUGAUCGGCCACACUGGAACUGAGACACGGUCCAGACUCCUACGGGAGGCAGCAGUGGGGAAUAUUGGGCAAUGGGCGCAAGCCUGACCCAGCAACGCCGCGUGAGGGAAGAAGGCUUUCGGGUUGUAAACCUCUGUCCUUGGUGGUGUUGAGGGUAGGUGGUGAAUAAGCGCCGGCUAACUACGUGCCAGCAGCCGCAGUAAAAC
rnacentral:rRNA from 1 species